UACAGAGGUGGCGAGCGUUAUUCGGAAUUAUUGGGCGUAAAGGGCGCGUAGGCGGCCACGCAAGUCUUGGGUGAAAUCCCUCGGCUCAACCGAGGAACUGCCUUGGAAACUGCAUGGCUCGAGGCCGGGAGAGGGUAGCGGAAUUCCCAGUGUAGCGGUGAAAUGCGUAGAUAUUGGGAGGAACACCGGUGGCGAAGGCGGCUACCUGGACCGGUUCUGACGCUGAUGCGUGAAAGCGUGGGGAGCAAACAGG
rnacentral:rRNA from 1 species